UCUCGCUCGAUCGGAUAGCUCGCGUUUCACCCCUAUUUAAUGGCGCGGGCCAUGCCCUUUCGACCUCUCUCCUCUCUCCUCGACAGCCCGUGCCGAAGGAGUCGCCCAGCUCGCGCCCCAUCUGCCGAGGGAGAACCAGGUACAGGGGACUCCCGGCGACAUUCUGUCAUCUUCUUCUUCCUUCCCUUUUUGCUGAAACACUGCCCCGAACCCCCUUCCCUCACGCCCUAACCCUCGAUUGCUCCCCCUGACACCAUUCUACCCACCACCCCCCAAGGGCCCCUCGGACAGUUCGCGCCCAAGAAACCAUUGGAAGAGUCACCAUUGCAGUCGCGAAGCUUGCCCCCAUUGCGGAACUAUCCACCACCCAUCUGCCGAGAGAGAGCCAGGCACACCCUCGUCCGACGGCAUUCUGUCGUCUUCUUCUUCUUCCUUGCCCUUUUAUUGAAACCCUCUCCCGAACCCCCUUCCCCUCACACCCUAAGCCUUGUAGAUGGAAAUUCGAAUAAGGUGCAUUUGCAGGCUCUUCUACUUACCAGGUGUUUCAAUGUAGAUGUGGGCAUGUAGCACCAGUUAGAGUUGUAAAACAUUGAACAAAUUUGGGUAGACUUCUCUAUGGGUGUUGGAAUUAUGUAUGUGACUUUUUAAAAGUUGUGUUAGUUAUUAAACUAAGUAUAAUAGUGAAUGUCAUCCUUUUACACC